GUCAUAGCCGCAAGGUCUGUAUACAGGUGGUGCAUGGUUGUCGUCAGCUCGUGUCGUGAGAUGUUGGGUUAAGUCCCGCAACGAGCGCAACCCUCGUUCUGUGUUGCCAGCAUUUAGUUGGGGACUCACAGGAGACUGCCGGGGUUAACUCGGAGGAAGGUGGGGAUGACGUCAAAUCAUCAUGCCCCUUAUGUCUUAGGCUGCACGCAUGCUACAAUGGCUGGUACAAACGGCUGCGAUACCGCAAGGUGGAGCGAAUCCGAUAAAGCCAGUCUCAGUUCGGAUUGGGGUCUGCAACUCGACCCCAUGAAGUCGGAGUUGCUAGUAAUCGUAGAUCAGCAACGCUACGGUGAAUACGUUCCCGGGGCUUGUACACACCGCCCGUCACAUCACGAAAGUCGGUAACACCCAAAGUCAGUGCCCAACC
rnacentral:rRNA from 1 species